rnacentral:RNase_P_RNA from 1 species
UUCUAUGAGUCAAUUGCUGUAGUUUAAAACUAUAGAGGAAAGUCCAUGCUUACACAUUCUGUGAUGAAUGUAGUGUUUUAGUAAAGUUAACAAAUAAACUUUAGCACAAUUAAAUUUAAUUGUGACGGCAUUAAGGAAGAUCUAACGUUAGUAAUAACUAUGAUUUAACUUAAAUCAAAGUGCCACAGAGACGAGUUAGUAAGAAAUUACUAAGUGAAACGCGGUAAACCCCUAAAGUAAGAAACCUAAAUAAUGGUAAGGGAAUGUAGUGCUUGAGAAUACGAAUUAAGCCUAUGACACCAAAAUUGGUGUAGAUAAAUAAUUGACGCUGUAAUGAAGUUACAGUUACAGAACAUGGCUUACGAUU